ensembl:lncRNA
GGGCAGCAACACUUCCAUGCAUCUACGUGGCUACACCAGGCAUGCUGGGAUACACGUAGCCGUGUUCCGAAUGUGGAGGUAUGCGGGGCCGGGCCGGUGGGCGUGUGGUGAAAUCCAGUUCGCCUAAGCGCACAGGUCAGCACUGUCCGGUCAGCAGCUGCUGCCUGGCCGCGGUCCCACGCUUCCCAGGCCGGGGGGAGGAUUGACAGGAGGGGGCUACACUAACCCAGAGAGGCUGUGGACAGAUGCAGUGACAGUGGGGAGUGAGGAAAGUUAAAGAUUCACCACACAUCUGUUACUCUGCCACAGAGCGGACUCUCAGGCACCUACCCCCGCUGUCUGCUGGCUUGCCCGUCUGCCUGGGACCCUUUGUGUGGCAGCUGUUUCUUCGCAGAUAAGAUGUAGAUAACAAAAAAAGUGAGGACCUUCAGAAGGGGAACGCAGAAGUUCAGGAGUGGAGAAGAACGCAUGUCCUCUUGGGUGUGCUGAAUGGGGUUCAUCCCCCGCUGGGUGCAGGUGAGCACUCGAGCCAGGCUCGCACCUGCCCUCUUUGUUCCUGACUGAUGGGUUUACAGCGUGAGGGAUCUGUCUGCCUCGUAAAGCCAGUGGGCCGAGGGGCAGUAAAGUCUAACUGCUGUCAGAGCUUUGUGUGAGGGUGUGAAAGUGUGUGAGAGGCCCUGAGAGACGGGACACAUCAUCAGGGAGCAUCUCACAAUACAGACAGAUUGACAAAAACAAUUAUGCUCCUGUAGAGGAUUCCCAGACUAAACACAGUCAUUAAAGCCAAGCAAAUAAAAGCAACACUGAACCGCUAUAUAUAAAGAGAGGUUUAACGUUUAGAGAAUGGGGUCA